GCUCUUAUUCAGUGUGUAAAAACAUUCAGUUCGAUACGGUCGUUCAUCUCAUCUCGUGCUGCUUUAGAAAAUGUUAUAAAAAUUAAAAUAAAGACAAAAGUCCUUUUUAGAUCUCAACAAUCCAAAUUAUGACAAAAAAUUUAAGUCAAUCAUUUAGUUCUUAGUACUGCGAGGAUCUCCUGUAAUUGUACCUUCCGUGCGGGCGAAAGCGGAAACUCUGAUGUGUGGAAUGCUGCUAACCGAAAAGGAGCCACAAGGAUCGGAUUCCAAAUUUCACCUUAACUACAAUGCAGAAUGACGGGAAAUACCGACGGAGAAGUGGACGAAAACGGAAAGGGUUCCGUAUCGGCGCCAUAGCGUAAAGUAUCCUUGAGAUGGGAUCCAGGGAAAGGAGCCUAGCGAUUGCAGUUUUUUUUUGAUGUGUUAAAUUAACUUUUGGCCAGGAUAAAUAGUCGCCAUGUUAAAAACUGCAUAAGGUGAUUCUUCCGCAUUAUAAAGACGGCUACUUGGCCAGGAUAAAGAGUCGCCAUCUUAACUGCAGGCUAAGAGGCGAUUCUUCCGCAUUAUAAAGAAGGGGGGAAAAAACCAUUUAGUGGGAGCUAAAAGGACGGCAAUCAACCAAAUAGAAUCGCCAACCAAGGACAUCAAAAGGCAAACCAAGAGAUAUUUCGCCCAAUCUAUUCUCGACGAGGACUCCGUUUUGAUAGACCACGGAUAAAAGACGUUAAGAGCACAAGUCCUUUAUGCGCUUCAAAUUUGGUUCCAAUCAAUUUGGUUUAGUUGCCUGAAUGUCGACGUUGUCUUCGCUUUCGCUGACACGGUGGUCACAAUGACAAGAUGUCCUCGCUGUACUACGGGAAAACAGAUUCUCCAUCGUAUUCGGCGAGUGCGGCGUAAAUUUUGUUCUUGCUGAAUUUUGUCAUUAUAUGUAAUUUUUUUGUAUGACGGCGCGAGAUGAGAAGGAACAUAGGCACGAUAUUGCCACAAAUUAUAGAAUUGUAUAAAAUAAAUAUUUCAAAAUGUCAAAAGUC